rnacentral:rRNA from 1 species
UACGUAGGUGGCAAGCGUUGUCCGGAUUUACUGGGCGUAAAGGGAGCGUAGGCGGACUUUUAAGUGGGAUGUGAAAUACCCGGGCUUAACCUGGGUGCUGCAUUCCAAACUGGGAGUCUAGAGUGCAGGAGGGGAAAGUGGAAUUCCUAGUGUAGCGGUGAAAUGCGUAGAGAUUAGGAAGAACACCGGUGGCGAAGGCGACUUUCUGGACUGUAACUGACGCUGAGGCUCGAAAGCGUGGGGAGCGAACAGGA